GACAGAGGGCGCGAGCGUUGUUCGGAAUUACUGGGCGUAAAGCGCGCGUAGGCGGAUCUGUAUGUCCGUAAGUGAAAUCCCGCCGCUCAACGGCGGGGCUGCUUGGGAAACGGCAGGUCUGGGGACCGGUAGAGGUCGGUAGAAUUCCCGGGUGUAGCGGUGGAAUGCGUAGAGAUCGGGAAGAAUACCCGUGGCGAAGGCGGCCGACUGGGCCGGAUCCGACGGCUGAGACGCGAAAGCGUGGGGAGCGAACAGGAUAGAUAC
rnacentral:rRNA from 1 species